CUGAAUCAGCCACAGACUUUAUUAGACAGCACCUGUGCACACAGCCCCUUCCCUUUUGUUCAAGCCACAUGGAGGAAUCCUAGUGUUGCUGCUGGAAAUGCUGUCUCCUGCCUUGUGUGCGUUAUUGAGCUAUAAACCACACAUACCUAGAAAGAAAGAAAGAAAGCAAUUGUGGAAUUAAAAGUGACUAUACUGAAUUGUUCUCACCGACACCUCCAUUGGUAUCAAGCCAGCCACCUACACAUCCCUCUCAAACCUCCUUUUCACGUGCAUUGUGGGUCCAUUCCCUGUUGAGUGUGACAAUCUGAAGUGGAGUCAGAUGGCAGACAAAUCAAUCUUCUCAAAUAUCCAAAAUUCAGUUCAUGUGCAGUUUUGUACUAGGCAUGGAGCCUCUAUUACCGUAUGUGAAAUAAUAUGCAUGACAGUUUUCUUUUGAGUGUCACUUUGCACGAUGUUUGGCUGCUUCCGACUGAGGUUUUUGUUAUGUAAAGAAAAGUAAAAUUGUUAAAUGUCUGUUAAUCGUCAACAUCAGAGGCCCUAACCGCUGACAUCGAGCUGCCUCUGAGACCAUCCAUCACAACACAUGAGGUCAUGUUCUACAGCAGUGGUUCUCAACCUUUUCAAGUCACGACCACCCAGAAUAAUGGAGUUUGUGUUCGCGACCCCCACAACCCCACUGACAACGAGAGAGCGCUGCAAACCAGUGUAAACAGCUGUUUCAACACGCCUCCCCCUGUGGAUUUUGAGUGGUUUUUUUUGUGAAUGUUCUGAUUUAUACAUGUAAACAAAUAAUGCUUUGCUAGUUUAAGUUGAAGCAGCUAGCACCUAAGCCUUGUCCAAUGUGCUCCAGCCUCUGUGGACUUUUGAUGUGUUUGUGACUUGUUCUCUCUCCCCUGACCCACCUUCAGAUCCUUUUUUUCUGUGUUCCAGGCACCAAACUCACACAGUAAUGUAAAAACCAUUCUCCAGUCUAGUAUGUUAUUAAAUUUUUUUUUUUCCACCCCAACUAACUGGCGACCCCCAGAAAUUGUGUUGCUUUUGAUCUAUUUAACCAAUGCUUAGAGUGAUGGACUAAAUGUCUUGAGACCACUUAGGAUGUGUUAGGGUAGUUUGGGUUUCUUCUUUUUGUAGGUUGUAAAUAAUAUUACAUAAUCAAUGUUUCCUUUUUAUUAUCCAAACAAUGAUAGUAUUAUUAAUGUGUAUUAUUCGCUAGUGUCCGGGUCCCUAUACACAAGCUUCAACCACACAGCUUACCAGGGUGUCCCAUUUCCAUUUCACAUAUCUGCAUCAUGUCUUAUGAUUGUACUUGUCUUUUCACUUUUGUGAAUAAAAUUGAACAUGAAAGCACUA